rnacentral:RNase_P_RNA from 1 species
UAAAGUAGUCGGAUAAUCGCGCCUGAAUUUCAGGUGAGGAAAGUCCGUGCAUCUCAGAACAGGCCGCCGGAGAAACUCCGGACGAUGUGAGUCGGUGGAUAGUGCCACAGAAAUGUAGACUGCCGAUGGACUAUAUGUCACAGGCGAUGGUGCAACGGUGAGUUAAGAGCUUCACCAGUGAUAUCGAGAGGUAUCAGCUAGGUAAACCCCGGUUGGAUGCAAGAUUGACUCGAAGGUUAUAAAGGUUGUUCGCCAACUUCGGAAAAAUCGCUAGAGAUUAGGAGUAAUCCUAAUACCAGACAGAUGAUUAUCUAAAACAGAACACGGCUUACGGGCUACUUUAUUUU